rnacentral:rRNA from 1 species
AUUGAACGCUGGCGGCAGGCCUAACACAUGCAAGUCGAGCGGGGACUUCGGUCCUAGCGGCGCACGGGUGAGUAAUGCUUGGGAAUCUGCCCAGUAGUGGGGGAUAACGUCCCGAAAGGGACGCUAAUACCGCAUACGUCCUACGGGAGAAAGAGGGGAAUCUUCGGACCUCUCGCUAUUGGUUGGGCCCAAGUCGGAUUAGCUAGUUGGUAGGGUAAUGGCCUACCAAGGCGACGAUCCGUAGCUGGUCUGAGAGGAUGAUCAGCCACACUGGAACUGAGACACGGUCCAGACUCCUACGGGAGGCAGCAGUGGGGAAUAUUGGACAAUGGGCGAAAGCCUGAUCCAGCCAUGCCGCGUGUGUGAAGAAGGCCUUCGGGUUGUAAAGCACUUUAAGCGGGGAGGAAGGUUCGCGGCCUAAUACGUCGCGGAAUUGACGUUACCCGCAGAAUAAGCACCGGCUAACUCUGUG